rnacentral:rRNA from 1 species
UACAGAGGUCCCAAGCGUUGUUCGGAUUCACUGGGCGUAAAGGGUGCGUAGGUGGUGAGGUAAGUCGGAUGUGAAAUCUCCGAGCUCAACUCGGAAAUGGCAUUGGAAACUACCUUGCUCGAGGGUUGGAGGGGGGACUGGAAUGCUUGGUGUAGCAGUGAAAUGCGUAGAUAUCAAGCGGAACACCAGUGGCGAAGGCGAGUCCCUGGACAACUCCUGACACUGAGUCACGAAAGCUAGGGGAGCAAACAGG